UUUCAUGUAAAUUUUCCGUUUCCUCUGUGUGUCACCCUCUCCAUGAGGCAGGUGUUCCUGUGAAGGACCUCCUAGCACACAUCCUUCCCCAGUCUUCAUCGUCCACACUUACAAUGCCCAACUCACUCUCUUCCUCUGUCCUCCAGGGCAAUAUCUUCUCUCUACACCAACGAUGGGGACAUGGAAGCUCUCGAGGCUGACCUGAAACAUCGAUUUACCCGACAGGAGUGGGACUUGGCUAAGAGCCUACAGAAAGCCAUCCAAGCAGCGAAGUCUGAGAAUUACUCUCUGACCGACUUCUGGGCCUACAUGGUUAUCUCCAAGCACACCAGAGAACUGUCAGAGUCCCAUUUGUCCAAUAUGAAGAAGCCCGUGGAAGAAGGGACACUACCCUACCCGAUAUUUGCAGCCAUUGACAAUGACCUGCAACCUUCCUGGCAGGAGGCAAGAGCACCAGGCUGGAGUGCAAUGGCACGAUCUCGGCUCACCACAACCUCCACCUCCCAGGUUCAAGCGAUUCUCCUGCCUCAGCCUCCCGAGUAGCUGGGAUUACAGGCAUGCAC
rnacentral:sRNA from 1 species